ACAAUAUAAAUAUAAUCAUACUAAACGAAAAUAUAAAGCAAUUUUAUGAGCAAUAUUAGUAACAUUGGCAACAACAGCAAAGAGCGAGCAGUAUAACAGAAAGAAAAAAAAAACAACAAACAUCAAUACUGUAAUGUUGGUGUAUGAAUAUAUGGCUGAUUUUUUAAACAUCAGGUUGUGUUGCGAUUUAAAAAAGAAAAAAGCUAAACAUAAUAAUAACAUAAAUAAAAAAGGAAAGAAAAAUGAAAAUAAUAUGAAUAUUAUGAUUUAGAUUACAAGAGCGAAGUGAGUGAAAUGAGAAUUUUGUAACACAAUGGUGGCAAUCAGCAUAAAAAAAUUGUUAAAGUAUUAUUUGUAAGUUACGACAUAAAACAGAAGUUUAAAAUGCUCAAAGAAAUCGGAAAUUUUUAAAGUAAGAAUAAUUUAGCAAAAUAUAACAAAAAAGAAUGGUCAUAGAUAAAACAAAACUUUGCCUUCACAAAUUGAAUAUCAAAAUUUAAACCGCAGUGCCCAAAUUUUUUGAUCAAAGUGUUGGAAAAAGGAGAAAAAUAACAGGAUAGCAAUGUUACUAAUACAAUAACUUUUUAGAAUAGUACUGUACAUGUGAUGAUUCAGCAGGAUAUUAUAAAAAACGAGAGACUAAGAGUAAAAGUUCAUUUUGUUUUGUUGAAAAUUGAAAACGUUGUAUAAAGAGAGUUUAGAGAUUGAGAAUAAAAAUGAAAUAGAAUUAAAAAAAAAUAAUGAAAGAGACAGAAAACGAUCGUUGAAAUUUAAAUCCAUCCAAUUUCAAAAAUACCACACAAAUAAGAUAAGAAAACAAAAAAGAAUCAACAAUCAUGUGCAUGGAAAACCACUCUAGACAGACUACUAAAAGUAUAAAAAUAAAAAAAAAAUAAAAAAAUAAAUCUUGUUUAGUGUGUAGUACAAGUAUUCCUAAACAUAUUGGAUUCAGAUUUAAACCGAACAACGUAGUCUUUCUUUAGUAAUAUGAGAGCCUAUAACACCGCCGAAUGUGAAAAUGAAUCCAGCCAUUUCAUCAAGAAGUAAAUAUGUGUAAAAUGAACCAACAAUUCAGAAACUGUGCAUUCAUCCAUCUAUUAUACAAUAUUUUUAACAAGCUGUCGUCUAUGCGAAAAGAAAAGAGUUAUUAAAAUGAUCGCGAGUUCUUGUAUUAAUUUUUUUAAUGUACUUUAAGAGUAUUUUUGUUUUUUAUUAUAAGCAAAUAUGUUCAUUUAUAUAAUUUGUUUGUACUUAAGUAUAUGCUCAUACGUUUAAGUUGUGGAACGCGAUACGAAGUAUUGCAGAUCAUUUUUUUAAGAUUAUUUUUAAUUUCAAAUAUUUUUUUUGCUUUUGUAUGAUAUUUCAGUUUUAGUUAUAAAAUAAAAAAAU